UACAGAGGGUGCAAGCGUUAAUCGGAAUUACUGGGCGUAAAGGGCGCGUAGGUGGCCAACUAAGCCAGACGUGAAAUCCCUCAGCUUAACUGGGGAACUGCGUCUGGGACUGGAUGGCUUGAGUGCAGGAGAGGAACGCGGAAUUCCAGGUGUAGCGGUGAAAUGCGUAGAUAUCUGGAGGAACACCGGUGGCGAAGGCGGCGUUCUGGACUGCAACUGACACUGAGGAACGAAAGCCAGGGGAGCAAACGGG
rnacentral:rRNA from 1 species